rnacentral:lncRNA from 1 species
UAAGAAUGAAUACGGAUAAUUUGGAGUUACCGACAGGUCAUUGCGACUGCGCAUUGAUACAUAAGCCGCGCAUGGGAAAGGCCGGUCAUUGAUCCUUCUAGUUAUUUACUAGUAAAUCACGUCCGAACAUUCUUGUCGUCCUGAAGUUUUGUCUGCUUUAAACCAAACCUUGAAUUUAGAAAAACAACAAUGGUAUGUGUGUUUCAUCAAUGCAUAUAAACAUCUGAUAUGUCUAUUGAUGUGUUUAUGUUUCAGCGACCGCUAAAUGAAUGAGUUAUGUAAAAGAACGUUUCCUGCCCACCUUGUGAUAAUUUCCACGUGUUCUCUGUUCUUUGUAGAUAGAUUCUCUUUAAAAUUAUGGUAACCGGUGUUGGGGUAAUUGUUCUUUUGCUAUUAUUACCCUAGCUAGGUCCGCUUUUUCAAUGGGAAGUUUCGAAGUUAAAAUAAUAAACAAAUUUGUAAUCCAACAUGAAAUAAUUUACGCUAAUGUAAAUUAUUACUCUGUUUUAAUUCAUUUUUAUCUAUUCUCCUAUAUUUAUGUAACUCAAUCUGUUGCUUUUCUAUUCGUCUCAUUAAAAAGAAAAUGUUCGAUUGGAUUUAAUAAUUAAAAGUUAAUUCUUCAAAUAUAUAUAAAUCUUGAAAUAUAUGCCUCUGUGUAAAUAGUGACUUUUUUGUAAGACCUGUGCUUUUAAUUAUUUGAUAUAAAGACAACUAUCUCUGAAGUGUUUCAUAAUAUUCUGUAAUCAUUUUACACGUUUGUUUUCUAAAUUUUUAAUUACAUAUUAAAAUACUCCCUUAAUCCUUUGUUGACCUUUAGGGUACCUUCGCUUGGUGCACACCUUUUUUCGCUAUGCAUUGCCUUCAUGUAUGACAUUGAAUUUUUGACCUUGUCGAAACUAAGUUAGGGUCUGAAGAUCUUUCUUCGUAAGGACGCCCUAAAUUAACGCGAACGGUCUACUGAAGCUAUUCGUGCAUGUAACACUAUACAGCCGUUGAGGUAUUAAAGAGGGCUACAACAUUUAGGAAUACCCUUCCCGUUCGUUAUCUUAUAUAAAUAUACAUUUUUUUUUUCUUAGAUUACGUGUUUCUGUUUCGCCCACGUGAAACGAACUCCGAAACUAUCCAUUUACACUCAUCAUGCCCUUGAAAAAUUAUUUUAAUAAUAAAUGAGACUGUUUCUUUAUGCUAAUUUUAUUGGCUUUGUUUUAAAAACAUUCCUCGUUUGUGCGAUCGAAUUCUGUUCCACUGUAAUAUUAAAUUAUAAAUUAAAGGCGGCGAGCUGGCAGAAACGUUAGCACGCCGGGCGAAAUGCUUACCGGCAUUUCAUCUGUCUUUACGUUCUCAAUUCAAAUUCCGCUGAGGUCAACUUAGAGCCCCACCCCCACCCAGUUCUCCCAAAUGUGUUUAAUAAAAAAAAAAAUUUUUUUAAAUUGCCGAAGACCCCGUUUUCGUAUACGGAGGUUCCGGAAAAUUGCCAAAAAUCAGUAUUGUUAAAUUUCGCCCCCUAAAUUAUUCUUGCCAUUCAUCCUUUCGGAAUCGAUAAAUUAAGUACCAGUUGCGUACUGGAGUCAUCUUAUCGACUGGUCCCCUCCCCCAAAAUGUUGGGCCUUGUGCCUGGAGUACAAAAGAAUAUUAAAAUUAUAAAUUGAAGUUGUCAGCAAGCACAUUAGAAUUAAUCAGUUUUUCCAACUUUUACUGGAUAAUCAACAGAAAAACCUAAUAGAUCAAAUGAAAUUAACCUUCAACGACUCGCGUUUUCAUAUUAAAAAACGAAUUUCGGUGUCGAGUUCUGUAAAGCUAACUUUAAAUCACAACCCUUUAAAAAAAUAGUGUCCGAUAAUGAAAUUUUAGUGAAGUUGAUUUUAUUAAAAGUAUUAUGAUAACGUUUUCUUUUCUUUUUGAUACGGGCUAACUGUUUAACUUUCCCACUCACCCCCCUUUAUUUAUUACGAUUUGUGUUAUGUUACUGUGACCUUUUUUCUUUUAAUAUCUAAUAAUGGAUCUGCGAACUAUAUUUUUUUAUCUACGGACGUUUUUUUGGGUUAGGUAAAACAAUUUUAAGUCUUUUUAUAAUGAAGCAUUACUUGUGAUAAGGAUUUGAUCCCCUAAAUGAUUUUAUCACUCGUUAAUUCAGGUUUAUACAAUUUUAUCUCAUAAGGGUAGUUUAAAGGUCAACUUAUCUUAGUUAAAAAUUCUCCGCUCCCGAAAACUAGGUUAUGACUUAGAUUUACUUAAUUUCAGACAUUGGACCGCGGCUGUUCUAGGGCACCGUCUUUCAAGGACUUACUCGGUUCAUACCUGAAUCGCACCUCUCUUGAAAAAAAAAAAACUUUUUUUUUUAUAUUCCCGAUUCCUAUGUUUUAGAUAUCGGAGAUUACGAAUAUGCAAGAAAACACGUUUUCAAAAUUUUAAAUUCAAUAAGCAUAGAUAUGUGUAUAAAGAAAUAGAUAGAUAUGAAUGCCUUCCUGGGGAUCUAAAAACAAAAGUAACUAUAUAAACUCAUGGUCGUUAUUAAUCUAUUUAAAAUGAGACAAGUAAUUCACUGUAUAGACCAGAUGUGAAGAAAACUGAGGCCAAUUUACUUAUUGAUUAGUUCGUAGGAAUUCAGUGUUUGCUGCUAGAUUUUAGGACCAGUGGUGGUAGAUCAGUGCUUUUUCAUUAUGAUCCAUUGCACAUGUCGCAGUUCACUUGGCCACCCGAAUAUAUGAAACAGCAGAGUGCAAAUGUUACAAUCUUAUAGGUAACUGAACAUUGUUGCUUAUAUUGCAAACAGAAUGGUGUUAGGUUGCCAAAACAUGCAGAGCUCAGUAGCACCUUGAUUGCAGUGACAGCACAGGCUAGGUGGGUUUUUUUCAGAUUAAGGAUUAAGCAGAUGUCUCUGGUUUAAUGUAUACUUGACCCAAGUUUUGUUGCUUUGCAUGCCAAACUAAGAUGAACUAGAAAACUUUAAUCCAGCUGAUCAUGUUUCCGCCAACUGUGUUGAGAACUUGAAGUUAAGGAGCCUCAGGUUUGGAGAUAGAUGGUCAGGUCCUGUUUAUGUAAUGACUUUUCAAUGUGAAUAAAGAAAUUACAUCACUUGUCAGUUAUUAGCAAAUAUAUCUACGUGUGAGAACCAAUGUAAAAAAAAAAAAAACCAUUCUUAUCUUAAAUACUGUGACUAUUAAACAAAAUUGUAAUUAAGCAAUAUAGUAUCAGUGCAGAUAGACUCUCUGUUAAAUGAAUAUGCAUGUGUGUUAGCACACCAGGCGAAGUGCUGAGUAUUUCAUCUGCUGUUAAAUUCUGAGUUAAAAUUCCGCCACGGUCGACUUUAACCCUUUAGUGUUUAAACAGACCAUAUCCAGCACAAAUAUUCCGUCCUGCUUUAUGUUGAAACCUGCCAGAUAUGACCUACAACUACCUUAGAAUGUCAUUCUAAAAAUAAGCAAUCACAUCAUCAAAAUCUCAAAGCUAUGAGGUAAUAUUUGAUUAAUUCAAAGCAAUGUGAAUAAACAUUACAUUUUGACAAAUUAAUCUGAAUGCUAAAGGGUUAAGCCUGUUUAUUAGGGAGUACUUUUCAAUGAUGCUCUGAAAUAUAUAGGUUUUUGGUGGUUUUUGAUUAUCUCUUAUCGGCUCUGCUUUAAAGUGGCAGCCAGGUCACAUAAUCGCUCUAAUACACACUUUUCCAUGCUUGCAUGUGUUGGGCAAAGCUUAGUCUGAUUUUUCUAUGGUUGAGUGUCCUUGUUGCCAACUCUCACUUGAUUCUGCACAAGGUAAUAUUUCCCUAUGGCCAGAUAUGUUCUCACAGAAUACUAGAAAUGAGUGACUCGUGUGACUAAUGCUCAUAGAUGACUAUCACGCAAUGUCAAUUCAAGGAGAUACACGAUGGGCUUCUUUCAGUGUCUGUCUACCAAAUCCUCUCAAAAAGCUUUAGUCAGCCCAGUGUUAUAGCAGAAGACAUUUGCCCAUGGUGCCACACCAUUGGGAUUGAACCCAGAACCAUUUGUUGGGGAAGCAAACUUUUUACCACACUGUCAUGUCUGCACCUAAUUAUCCGAUUUGUUGCACAUAAAAAAUGAAAUAAUUAGCAAGGCAUUAUUCUAUUUUCAUCACUUACUGGGGUGCAUGCUCCAGCAAGGCAUAUAAACCCACAUUUGAAUUGAAAGUAGAUACACCUAAUUAUAGGCAAAAUGCUAUUAUUACUUAAGCCAUCUUGUUGCUUGCUGUGUUCAUCUGAUGCUCCCACUAAUCUCAGUCCUACUACUACAGAUCAUCUGCCUUUCUAUUUGUUUUUCCUGCAAUCUUUUAACUUCAUAAUAAUACUCAAAUUGAACAUCAGCCUAUUAAUUUCACAUAGUCUCAGCAGGCCUUCAAGGGUCAUAGAUAACGACUUUCUUUGUGAUGAGAUUUUUUUUUUUUAUUUGGACCUGUUGCAAUAAAUGCAUAGUAAUAUAUAUUUUUUUACAUUAUUAGAAAUGUCAAGUCACUGAGUUUACUUGUAAGCAAGCUGUUUUAAAUUAAGAUUGUCUUCAAAGUGGAAAGACUAAAAGGUGUUCCUUGGAAUUUGGCCACUACAGUGAUCUAGUUAUGUUGAAACCUGUUGAUGAUUAUGUAUUACAGUUGUAAUUUUCUAAAAUAUAAUUUGCUAAUCUGCCAUUUGUAAUAAAUUUAUGAAUCAAACAUAAGACUUUUUAUUAUUAUUAUUAUAGGCUCGUGCUUUUAACAAAUUUUUACCAUUAUUGGACCGUGUCCUUGUGGAGCGAUUUCUGCCUGAACUAAAAACUAAAAGUGGUCUCAUGAUCCCAGAGAAGUCUCAAGGCAAGGUUGUCCAGGCAACAGUGGUGGCAUGUGGUCCAGGAGGCAGAGCUAAAGUAUGUAUUUUCUAUUUUUGCAUUUUUACUCCCCAGCAUCAUCUGCAUGCAGAUGAUGGGCAGAUUGUAUGCUGCUUGUAUGGGAAGUUCAAUACUGCUUAGUGGUGCGGUGUGGGCUCUGAAUGUAGCUGUUGUUUGGCAAAUUGAGUUGAAUGAAGCAUGAAUGUUUUGAUGUCAGUGUUAAUGAACAAUGCAAAUGAGCUGAAAGAAAUGCUGAGCAUAAGGAGAAUCAGAUGUAGUGUGCAACAGGGAAGACUGUGUUGUCAUGGGUGUGUGAUAUGUAUAGAAGGUGUCAGCUGUAUAAAGAAGCAUGGGGCCCUCAAAGCAGAUGAAAUUUAUUGAGUAGGGACUCAAGAUGAAGUGUUGAAUGCAAUCAGAAUGUUGAACCCCAUGGAGAUGACAGGACUUAGAUAAUUAGUGACACAGUGUCAAAUAAAAAAUCAUUGUCUUGUACAAGUAUAGUGAAAUCAAUGCUAAAUUUGUUAAUUGCAUAGACUGGACAGUAUGUGUAUUUGCACAAACACAUGCACACAUUCUUUUGCAUCUCUGAUCCAAUAUACCUCUCCCCUGUCUUUGGUACCCACUUGCUUCCCUAUAUUCAUUCAUUUGUUGCGUGACUGAUGAAGGCAUGGCAUCCAUCACUAUUUAUUCAUCUGUGCUUCUAUUACUCUAUCUUUUUAUUAGCUCUUUCCAGUGACUGUUUCUUUGUACACAUGCACACUUAUCCACUUCUGUCAUCUCUUCUUACACUAAUCUCAAGUAUGUUACCUUGAAUGGAUACAGAAUGAUGAGUGUUCUUAAAGAAUACAAAGCAACUGGUGCCAGGAUAAAAUGUACUAAGUACACUCUGUAAAGUGUUUUUAGUGAAUGAAUUGAGAAAGUGUAAUUAGAAGUCUUUGUCUUGCUGAGAAUAUUACAACCUCAAUAAAAUGCUCCCCAAUACAAAAAGUGGUUGGUUGAUAGGAAGGGCAUCUACUUGUAGAAAGUAGGUCAGAUUUGCAAUGUUUAAGUGGUCUGUCAACCCACUUAAGAUAGUAACUUUGAAAAGGAACCAGCUCUCCAACCCAUGGAAAGACAUGGUCUAUUUGAGUUGCAAAGUUAGUUGAUAAAAUGUUACAAAUAAGUUUAGUAAAUUGCUGGAAAUUAAAAGCAUUUACUGUGAGAUAAUCAUUGUUGAUGGGGACAUGUACUUUAUAUGGAUUAUGUAUGCUCAAUAAAAAGAUGGCAUAAGACUGAAAAUGUUGCCACUGAUAUUCUAAGCGUUUAUUAAUUACAGAGUUGAGAAACAAGAUAAUUUUAUCAGUUCUAUUUGGAUUAUUGAAGAUUACAUGCAAAAUAUAGUAUGAAUAAUUUACAUUUCGAACAAUACUGUAUUUAGCUGCUAUUUUAUGCAUUUAUUUUUGCAAUUGUUUUACAGGAUGGCAGUACUGUUCCACUUACUGUCAAGUUUGGUGAUGUUGUCCUAUUGCCAGAAUAUGGUGGCACAAAAGUAGAAUUAGACAAAAAGGUGAGAUGUGUUUUAACUGUUAACCCUUUAGCAUUUAAACCGGCCAAAAUAUUCUAUCCAUUUUAUUCAAACUGGCCAUAUCCAACCUAUCACACCUAUCCUAUAAUGCCUGAUUAACUAAAAACAAUGUGAAUAAAUAAGCUAUACCUCAAGAAUUCCCAACCCUUUUUUAUCUAUGGACCCCUUUGAUUGCUAUUUUAUUCUGGUGGACACCCAUAGCAAUUUGGUGUUUAAAACUAGUUUUACAAGAAACGUUUUCUAAAAUUGCUUCAUUUUUAACACAUUAACUUGAGUAAGCUGAACUAUGUAAAAUGUUAAAGAAACCUAACUGCUUCUUGCAAUAUAUAUAUAUCUAAAGCAAAUUUUUUUUCGGGGGUCCUUAAAAUAAGAUUCCAAUUUACUUUGUUGCACGGACCCUGGUUGAGAACGGCUGCUAUAUAUUAAGAGUAAUCUGAAUGCUAAUGGAAAAAAACUUUUUAAAAACCCGUGUAGCUCCAGUAUCUCAAAACUCUAUUUUACAGCUUCUAGUUUUGAAAUAUCAGUGAUAUAUUCAAAGUAAAGUUGGGAAAAGUUACUAGGGAAAACUUCUGCUAAAGUUUCUAUGGCUGUUUAUAAGUUUUCUCUAUCAUGACAUAUGCUAUGGAGAGCAGAAUGUUUAACAUUUCAGAUUCUUUGUCUUCAAUGUGAAGUACAGAAAAAUAGUGUCAUUGGCCUUUUAGCUUUCUCUUCUCUUUUUAAAGGCCAAGAUCCAAAGUUUAGAUUUCUCACUCCAUAACGGUAGUUAGCCUAUGAAUUCUCCAACGUAGCUAUUUGGAAGGAUAAAUGCCUAGGUGUUUGAUUAAACGGCGAAGAUGGUAGGAAUUAUCUGUUCCAGUUAAUGUCAUUGAAAGAGUUACUUCCCUUGUUCUGGAAGUUGAAACUCGAGUUUUCUUAUUGAUAUUAGCUUUCCUUGUCAUGAAAAUAUCUAGUUGGUGUACUGAGUAGCUGUUGGGAUUCACCUCUCUUUGUUUUGUUUUUACCUUUUGGUGGUUAAAUACUUAGCUCUGAGAACCUGUGACUAUUAAAAUAGCAGACAAAAGUAAAAUUACAAUAUUUAUUUUAAAAGGGACUCAUGAGAAAAUGUAGUCCUGAACUGAUCAGAGGAUCAUAGCUGAAACGUUUUUGCCUUUGGGUCUUUAAACAAUCGCCAUCUUCCUGUGACGAUCUGUUUUCCACGCUGGCAUGGGUUGGACGGUUUUGAUCAAAGCUAGUCAGCCAGAGUUACACCAGGUUCUAGUCUUGUUUGGUUUCUAUGACUGCAUGUUCUUCCUAAUGCCAGCCACUUUACAGUGUGUACUAGGUGCUUUGGAUCUUUUCGGUUUGACCGGCAGUUUUUUAAAAUAAUUUCCACGUAACUAAACACUUUUAAACUUCGUAUUCUGGUAGAAUGUGUUUAUAAAACAUCUUUUUCUCUUGGCUUUAUUGAGAAAAUUCUAUAGUUUGUAAGAUAUUUGUUGUUUUUUCUUCAAUUUCUGAAAUUUCAACCAAUCAAUGACGUCUAUUGAGGUGAAAACAUUCUGUGCCUUAUGAACAUGUCCCUCGUUUGAGAAACAGAUUGGGUUUAUUUACAUUUCUGAAGAAAAAAAAGAUACCCUUCCCCCCACCCAUAACCCUAAAACAGAUUGAAAUGCAAUAGAUCGAUACUAGGGUCAUAAUUAUGGGUGACAAUUUCAUAUGACACUGCUAGAAAAAACUGCCUUUCAAACCGAAAAGAUCCGGUACUUUUAAUGUUCCACCAGCAGGACUGAUUUAUGGGCUUUUAAACGUUUUUACUCAUUUCAUUUCUUAUUUGCUGAUUAUUUUUGCUUACUAUGUUAUUAAUAAAUCCUUGUUAACUGUUUUUAUUUUCUUUUGCAGGAAUACUUCCUAUUCAGAGAUUCUGAUAUACUUGGAAAAUUUGAAUCCUAAUGUUGUUUGUUAGUCUAAGGCAGAUUCUGGCAUACUAUUAUGUAUAAAUUAGAACUUGAGAGGAAGAAUGACGCUGUUAAUUUUAUGAGCUUGCAGACCAGUGACACAUGAAGACUUAAGCAAAGCUACAUGUUCAAAAGUACUGACAUCACCAUAACUCGUGUUCAAAAUUAACUUAUUGGGAGUCUACUGGAAGCGAUUUGGGAGUGUAUUUUUGUGUUUUGCUUGUUAUUGAAUUUAGAAGUUUACUUUUAAGCUAGGUUUCUCUAAUUUUUAUUUCCAUUGCUUUGUCUGCUGGGUUUUUUUUUACGUAUAAAUCUGUUUAGGGAAAAAUCAUGGGUGCUACCUAAAAGUUAACUUCUACACUUUAAUACAUUAUGUUCAUUUAAGCAAAAACUCUUGAGGCUUCUCACUGUCAGUGCUUGGUCUCUUCCUCUUCAUCAUGUGCCACAAAUCAUUGAAAUCAUUUCUACCUGAAAACAAAAUGUUCUAUAUUUUAUCACUGAUUUAUAGCCCAUUCUAGCAUGUGAAAGAACUGUAGAGUUUUUUUUCUUACACGUUGUCAGAAACUCCCAAAUAUUCUGUACAUAUGAUCAUUUUGAAGAUUGUGAUAAAUAAAUAUCUCAAAAUACACUAUUG